rnacentral:rRNA from 1 species
CGUAGGGUGCGAGCGUUAAUCGGAAUUACUGGGCGUAAGGCGUGCGACGAGGCGGUUAGUAAGACAGGCGUGAAAUCCCCGGGCUCAACCUGGGAACUGCGCUUGUGACUGCUAAGCUAGAGUACGGCAGAGGGGGGUGGAAUUCCACGUGUAGCAGUGAAAUGCGUAGAGAUGUGGAGGAACACCAAUGGCGAAGGCAGCCCCCUGGGUCGAUACUGACGCUAAUGCACGAAAGCGUGGGUAGCAAACAGGAUUAGAUACCCUGGUAGUCCACGCCCUAAACGAUGUCAACUAGGUGUUGGGAGGGUAAAACCUUUUAGUACCGGAGCUAACGCGUGAAGUUGACCGCCUGGGGAGUACGGCCGCAAGGUUA